UUCAGGGUCAUUAUCGUCCAGCAACUUGAAUUGCUGCAAACUGAGUGUGCACUGAUCGGUACUAGCAAUACUCAUGCGAGCCCAGUAAACUUUAUCUCACAUGGAACCAUGCAUUUCCUUUCCAUUGUGAGCUGUCCCCGGCAUGUUGCUACUGGGUACCUGUUCUGACCGACGUGGUGGAGUGGUGAUGUUGCAGAACGCGUACAACAUGCUCCACAGCGACAUGGUGGCGGCCGUGCGUAUUGCGCACGCAUGCUGUAUGUUCCUCGACGAGCUCAGCACCACAUACCUCUUUCCUGCCCACCACAACGUCAACGAGAACGUCAAUCGAGGUCAUUCCAGUUCAGAAAGAAAAAUACAAUUUCUUUGCUAUCCAUUCAUGAAGAAUUGUACAUUACAGAGUUUUAAAGUAAAUUGAAAAACGAUUGCACCACAAACCACUUUUUAUUUAAAUUUGUUGUACCUACUACAUCUCAUAUUGUUAAAUGUCAGGUCAACAUACUGGGGAUAUAUACAUGACAAAAGAACAGAGCAAACUCCUUUUUUAUCCAAAUCAUUGUUCACUGAAGUGGAGUUGUUUCUCAGAGACCUCACUAAUAGGGUGAGCUUACAAGACUGAUCAUUGUUAGUCUUCAGCUGGAAACCAAGCAAAAGAUGUCAUACUGUUGUAACCAUGUUUGAAGACAAUUUCGUUGCCUCUUGUUUGAAGAUGGCAAUUGUCAUAAUGCGUGGUUUGUCAAAAAUAUGUCCACUGUGACAUGCGUAUAUGUAUUAAUAAUUUGUCAGUUAUUUGUACCUAUCUGUUUUGCCUAGAUGAUUAUUGUAAAUGCUCUUAUCGCAAUGUACCAUCCUGUAUUAUUCAUGUUA